UACGGGGGGGGCAAGCGUUGUUCGGAAUUACUGGGCGUAAAGGGCUCGUAGGCGGCCAACUAAGUCGGGUGUGAAAGCCCCGGGCUCAACCUGGGAAUUGCAUUCGAGACUGCAUUGCUGGAGUACGGAAGAGGAAGGCGGAAUUCCCGGUGUAGCGGUGAAAUGCGUAGAUAUCGGGAGGAACAUCAGUGGCGAAGGCGGCCUUCUGGUCCAGUACUGACACUCAAGUGCGAAAGCGUGGGGAGCAAACAGG
rnacentral:rRNA from 1 species